rnacentral:rRNA from 1 species
UACGGGGGGAACGCGAAGAACCUUACCAGGUCUUGACAUCCUUUGACCACUCUAGAGAUAGAGCUUCCCCUUCGGGGGCAAAGUGACAGGUGGUGCAUGGUUGUCGUCAGCUCGUGUCGUGAGAUGUUGGGUUAAGUCCCGCAACGAGCGCAACCCUUAUUGUUAGUUGCCAUCAUUCAGUUGGGCACUCUAGCAAGACUGCCGGUGACAAACCGGAGGAAGGUGGGGAUGACGUCAAAUCAUCAUGCCCCUUAUGACCUGGGCUACACACGUGCUACAAUGGGAAGUACAACGAGUCGCGAAGUCGCGAGGCUAAGCUAAUCUCUUAAAGCUUCUCUCAGUUCGGAUUGCAGGCUGCAACUCGCCUGCAUGAAGCCGGAAUCGCUAGUAAUCGCUCAUCAGCAUCGCCGCUCGC